rnacentral:SRP_RNA from 1 species
GUUGGGCGCGGUAGCACGUGCCUGUAGUUCCAGCUAUGGGGAAGCCUGAGGUGGGAGAAUCGCUUGAGCCCAGGAGUUCUGGGCUGUAGUGCACUAUGCUGAUCGGGUGUCUGCACUAAGUUCGGCAUCAAUAUGGUGACCUCCCGAGAGCGGGGGACCACCAGGUUGCCUAAGGAGGGGUGAAGCAUCCCAGGUUGGAAGCGGAGCAGAUGAAAACUCCCUGUGCUGAUCAGUAGUGGGAUCGAUCCUGUGAAUAGCCACUGCACUCCAGCCUGGGCAACAUAGCAAGACCCCAUCUCU